ACAAGUUCUAUCACUGAGUUGUAUGGUGAUAGAAAAUGAAAUACCCCCAGAAUUCCUAAACACUUUGUUGAAUAUGGCACCAAGUCAAGAGGAAGAAUGAAUCAGAUUGGGCAUUGAAUUUGUUGAGCAUUGAAUUGAAUCACUUCAGGAUGUAUGGUGUGGCCCUAGAAUUGGAUUCGCAUCAGAUCAUGCUUCUGCUUCUGUGGAUUGUGUGGUGGCAAGGAAGAAUGCUUCUUCAAGAAGGAACCUUGAUGCUGUUGAGAGAGCAACACAUAGGGAAGAGUGUAGAUCGGAUAUAGUAAGGUAGACAUCCUCUGCUCAGAAAGUGGGAAGCAGCGAAUAAUUUUGAUGGACCAAGAAUCUCAAGAAGCAAGUAUAUUGCCAUCAUCACUAAGAAGUUCAAGAAAGAAUGAAGCUAUCCAUAAAUUAGGAUAUUGAAUCUUGAUGAGUCCACUAGUAGUUAUUUGUCAUCUAAUGUAUUUAGAUUGUAUUAUUGUAUGGAAAUAAUUGCUUCUUAUUAUAAAGAAAGCGUUUUGUACUCACUGGUGUGUUUUUCUAUUUAUACCAUCAAUAAAAAUUUGUAUUUAUUAAAUUUA